CCUGGAGGAAAGGACAUCAAUCGAGACUCCGUUAGUAGUGGCGAGCGAACGCGGACCAGGCCAGUGAUACAUCAAAGACAAUCGGAACCUGUCAGGAAAGCAGGGCCUCAGAGGGUGAUAGCCCCGUACGAGUAAUGCGAUGAUGUAUCCACGAGUAAGGCGGGACACGUGUAAUCCUGUCUGAACACGGGGGGACCACCCUCCAAGCCUAAGUACUCCUCAGCGACCGAUAGUGAACCAGUACCGUGAGGGAAAGGUGAAAAGCACCCCGACGAGGGGAGUGAAAUAGACCUGAAACCGGACACCUACAAACAGACGGAGCCCAAGAUGCGUUCUGGGUGACGUCGUACCUUUUGUAUUAUGGGCCAGCGACUUAAUUUAACGAGCAAGCUUAAGCCGAUAGGCGAAGGCGUAGCGAAAGCGAGUCUGAAUAGGGCGUCAAGUUCGUUGUAUUAGACCCGAAACCUAGUGAUCUAGCCAUGAGCAGGUUGAAGGUGAGGUAACACUCACUGGAGGACCGAACGGGUGUCUGUUGAAAAAGACUCCGAUGACUUGUGGUUAGGGGUGAAAGGCCAAUCAAACUGGGAAAUAGCUGGUUCUCCGCGAAAGAUAUUUAGGUAUCGCCUCGGAUGAAUACCUCAGGGGGUAGAGCACUGGAUGGGCUAGGGGGACUUACCGUCUUACCAAACCCAACCAAACUCCGAAUACCUGAGAGUACUAUCCGGGAGUCACACGGCGGGUGCUAACGUCCGUCGUGGAGAGGGAAACAACCCGGACCUACAGCUAAGGCCCCUAAUUCGUGGCUAAGUGGGAAAGGAUGUGGAAAUCCCAAAACAACCAGGAGGUUGGCUUAGAAGCAGCCAUCCUUUAAAGAAAGCGUAACAGCUCACUGGUCUAAAUAAGGGUUUCUGCGCCGAAGAUGUAACGGGGCUCAAGCCACGAGCCGAAGCUUAGGGUGUGAUCCGCAAGGGUCACGCGGUAGCGGAGCGUUCUGUAAGCCUGCGAAGGGCGACCCGUGAGGGCGCCUGGAGGUAUCAGAAGUGCGAAUGCUGGCAUGAGUAACGACAAACACUGUGAAAGACAGUGUCGCCGAAAGUCCAAGGGUUCCUGCGUAAAGUUAAUCUUCGCAGGGUUAGCCGACCCCUAAGGCGAGGCCGAAAGGCGUAGUCGAUGGGAAUGCAGUGAAUAUUCUGCAGCCAGUGGAUGGUGACGAAUCUCGUAUGUUGUCUGACCUUAAUGGAUUGGUCGGGCCUCGAAGAGGUUCCAGGAAAUAGCCUCCACAUCAGAUCGUACCCGAAACCGACACAGGUGGACUGGUAGAGUAUACCAAGGCGCUUGAGAGAACUAUGUUGAAGGAACUCGGCAAUUUACCUCCGUAACUUCGGGAUAAGGAGGCCCAUUGCUCGCGCAAGCGGGCAAUGGGGGCACAGACCAGGGGGUGGCAACUGUUUAACAAAAACACAGGGCUCUGCGAAAUCGCAAGAUGACGUAUAGGGUCUGACGCCUGCCCGGUGCCGGAAGGUUAAGAGGAGAGGUGCAAGCCUUGAAUCGAAGCCCCGGUAAACGGCGGCCGUAACUAUAACGGUCCUAAGGUAGCGAAAUUCCUUGUCGGGUAAGUUCCGACCUGCACGAAUGGCGUAAUGACUUCCCCGCUGUCUCCAACAUAGACUCAGUGAAAUUGAAUUCCCCGUGAAGAUGCGGGGUUCCUGCGGUCAGACGGAAAGACCCCGUGCACCUUUACUGUAGCUUUGCGCUGGUAUUCGUGACUGUUUGUGUAGAAUAGGUGGUAGACUUUGAAGCCGUGGCGCCAGCCAUGGUGGAGUCGAAAUGUGAAAUACCACCCUAAUGGUUAUGGAUAUCUAACCGCAUCCCCUCAGCGGGAACCGGGACAGCGCAU
rnacentral:rRNA from 1 species